GAUAACUAUUGGAAACGAUAGCUAAUACCGCAUAAAAGUCGAUAUCGCAUGAUGUUGAUUUGAAAGGUGCAAUUGCAUCACUAAGAGAUGGACCUGCGUUGUAUUAGCUAGUUGGUGAGGUAACGGCUCACCAAGGCGACGAUACAUAGCCGACCUGAGAGGGUGAUCGGCCACACUGGGACUGAGACACGGCCCAGACUCCUACGGGAGGCAGCAGUAGGGAAUCUUCGGCAAUGGACGGAAGUCUGACCGAGCAACGCCGCGUGAGUGAAGAAGGUUUUCGGAUCGUAAAGCUCUGUUGUAAGAGAAGAACGAGUGUGAGAGUGGAAAGUUCACACUGUGACGGUAACUUACCAGAAAGGGACGGCUAACUACGUGCCAGCAGCCGCGGUAAUACGUAGGUCCCGAGCGUUAUCCGGAUUUAUUGGGCGUAAAGCGAGCGCAGGCGGUUAGAUAAGUCUGAAGUUAAAGGCUGUGGCUUAACCAUAGUACGCUUUGGAAACUGUUUAACUUGAGUGCAGAAGGGGAGAGUGGAAUUCCAUGUGUAGCGGUGAAAUGCGUAGAUAUAUGGAGGAACACCGGUGGCGAAAGCGGCUCUCUG
rnacentral:rRNA from 1 species